GCAAUUAUGUACUCUGUUUAAUUCUGUUCUUGACACUCUGUGUCGUUUGAUCGCGAGCCGUUUUCACAUCCACGGCUAACCGUCGUGCCAAACGUGGUGCACGCAUGUUUAUUUGCAUCCGUGGAUAUUAAGAGUGCAUUACCCGAGUUUCGGUACUCGGAAAACGGAGACCAUUUCGCAAACAGUGCGGACCAAAGUUUCCAACUUAAAAGAAGUGUGGACAACGAUUAGCUUCUGAUUAAAACAAGAAGAUCGAUGUUGUAACGGAAGAGUAAUUUAAAGCAAACUAAUGUCAAUCAAAGAAACUGUAUUAAAUUACGUUAUGCUAACGCAACGAAUAUAAUUUGCAUAUUACUCGCAAGUACAUGCAAAUCCAAGGAAUUACUCGGCAUCUAUGUUUUACCUGGAAAAGAGUGCGCCACCGUAUACGUAACUGGGAAUAAACGUGGUUAUUAUUAGAAGAAAUUGUAUGCGGAUAUAACUAAUAAUGACGUAUAAUAGUAUUUUCGUCUCAUGGUGGAAACUGAAGGCUUGGAAAUUCGGUAGCCGCAUACAUAAGCGGCAGAAGCACGAUUAAACUUUAAAAUGCAAUUAUCUCAAAAUAACUGUGCUCGGCAGUUAGCAAGUCUGCGCUCAGUAGGGCAACGUAACCCUUAUAAUUGCUCUGAAUUAAUACAUCAAACAGCUAUGUUAUCUAACAUGCACUGUACUAUGGUAUGAAUGAUACUAUCUGUAAUUGCAUAUUCUGUUUAGAAUUACGCUUUCAGAAUUGGUUUAUGCACAUCAUUUAAA
rnacentral:lncRNA from 1 species